AUUGAACGCUGGCGGCAGGCCUAACACAUGCAAGUCGAGCGGGGUUUUCGGACCUAGCGGCGGACGGGUGAGUAAUGCGUAGGAAGCUACCCGAUAGAGGGGGAUACCAGUUGGAAACGACUGUUAAUACCGCAUAAUGUCUACGGACCAAAGUGUGGGACCUUCGGGCCACAUGCUAUCGGAUGCGCCUACGUGGGAUUAGCUAGUUGGUGAGAUAAUGGCUCACCAAGGCGACGAUCCCUAGCUGGUUUGAGAGGAUGAUCAGCCACACUGGAACUGAGACACGGUCCAGACUCCUACGGGAGGCAGCAGUGGGGAAUAUUGGACAAUGGGCGCAAGCCUGAUCCAGCCAUGCCGCGUGUGUGAAGAAGGCCUUCGGGUUGUAAAGCACUUUCAGUAGGGAGGAAGCGUUGUGUGUUAAUAGUACACAGCGUUGACGUUACCUACAGAAGAAGCACCGGCUAGCUCUGUGCCAGCAGCCGCCGUAA
rnacentral:rRNA from 1 species